rnacentral:rRNA from 1 species
CCUACGGGAGGCAGCAGUGGGGAAUAUUGCACAAUGGGCGCAAGCCUGAGGCAGCCAUGCCGCGUGUAUGAAGAAGGCCUUCGGGUUGUAAAGUACUUUCAGUCGUGAGGAAGGUGUUAAGGUUAAGAAACUUAGCAAGGGACGUUAGCGACAGAAGAAGCACCGGCUAACUCCGGGAAAGAAGAAGGGGGAAGAAGGAGGGAGAGAGAGGGAAGCGGAAGGACGGGGCGUAAAGGGCACGCAGGCGGUUAAUUAAGUUGGAUGUGAAAUCCCCGGGCUUAACCUGGGAAUGGCAUUCAAGACUGGUUAGCUAGAGUCUUGUAGAGGGGGGUAUACUUCCAUGUGUAGCGGUGAAAUGCGUAGAGAUGUGGAGGAAUACCGGUGGCGAAGGCGGCCCCCUGGACAAAGACUGACGCUCAUGUGCGACAGCGUGGGGAGCACCCAGGAUUAGAUACCCGAGUCUUC